CGGGGUUCCGAAGGCUCCCUCUGGACGUGCCAACUAACGCAAAAGCAAAUCUGAGACAGAGUCGCGGGCCACGUUUGAAUAAAAGUAUCGAAAGUUAUGAAGCUCCAGCUCAGAUGGCAGUUCCCCGUGUGACAGCCACACAGAUAACGGCCGCCCUGGGGCGAAGGCCCAGAGCCAUGAAGUCUGCCUACCAUGGACUGAAUCCUCAGAAACCGAAUUACAUGCAGAAAUAAAGUUGAAGGAUCAUAUCUACAACUGGCUCUCAAAUUGUUUAGCAAUAGGU